GCUGCCUUGGCCGAGUUGGUUAAGGCGUUGCAUUUAAGUCUUCUCAGACACUCUGCAAUGACGAAAGUCGCGGCGGUUCGAGUCCGUCAGGCAGCA